rnacentral:rRNA from 1 species
UACGUAGGGUGCGAGCGUUGCCCGGAUUUAUUGGGCGUAAAGGGCGCGUAGGCGGCUCGGCACGUCCGUUGUGAAAUCGCCCGGCUCAACUGGGCGGGGUCGGCGGAUACGGCCGAGCUGGAGCAAGCUAGGGGGUAAUGGAAUUCCCGGUGUAGUGGUGGAAUGCGUAGAGAUGUGGAGGAAUACCGAUGGCGAAGGCAGCCCCCCUGGGAUAACACUGACGCUCAUGCACGAAAGCGUGGGGAGCAAACAGG